rnacentral:rRNA from 1 species
AGCCACGGAGGCAGCAGUGGGGAAUAUUGCGCAAUGGGCGAAAGCCUGACGCAGCGACGCCGCGUGAGGGAUGAAGGUCUUCGGAUCGUAAACCUCUGUCAGCAGGGAAGAACGGUCACUGUGCUAAUCAACAGUGAAUGGACGGUACCUGCAAAGGAAGCACCGGCUAACUCCGUGCCAGCAGCCGCGGUAAUACGGUGGGUGCGAGCGUUAAUCGGAAUUACUGGGCGUAAAGCGCUCGUAGGCGGUAUGUCAAGUCAAGGGUGAAAUCCCCGCGCUCAACGUGGGAACUGCCCUUGAAACUG